CAGCAACCCAUUGUCCAGUAUGGUCAUGAGGCUGUGUGGGGACACUUAGGCAGAAGGCCAGAGUCACCAGGCAGGCAGAGGAGGGGCCUGAGCUCAACAACACAUGCUUUUCCUCAACUAGAAGCAGCCUGGACCAAGCAUGGCCUGGCUCUUCCUGCAUUUCAGCUGUGAGAGACAAAGAGACUCUGUCUUCUGCAUGCACUACAGCCAACAUUCAAGGAGUCCUCUCACCAUCCUUGUGCCAGGCAGCCACAAGGGUAAAGACUAUUAUUCUCUUGUCCUGGAAGAGGGAGAGUGCAGCUAAGCCCAGCCCUGGGGAAGCCCUGCAUUGGCCUGCCUGGAUGCUGGCUCCAGCCACCCUCACUCUGACUGCUGAGUGUUCUGUGAAGAAUAGAUGCUAUCCUACAGCACGAACCGCAUGCUGCAACCCACUGUCUCCCAUGUGAGGGACACACACCAAGUAUGGAAGACCCUACAGACCUUGGGCUACUCUUUGGCUUUAAAACAAGGAUUUGCUUUUGUUCGGAGGGGUCAAGUAGGAGGCCAUCUGGUGGUGUCAGAUAGAACGGCAGUCCCUGGAGUCCAUGGGGCAUCCAUGAUGACAGAUGGAAGUCUCUUCCUCCAGGAAGUCACUUCUUUAUGUCAGCCGGACCUCG
rnacentral:lncRNA from 1 species